CUCCGGUUGAUCCUGCCGGACCCGACUGCUAUCAGAGUGAGAUUAAGCCAUGCGAGUUAACGUAGCAAUACGUGGCGCACGGCUCAGUAACACGUAGUCAACAUGCCCAGAGGACGUGGAUAACCUCGGGAAACUGAGUCUAAACCGCGAUAAGUGAGGAUUUCUGGAAUGGUUCCUGACCAAAAUCUAUAUGGCCUCUGGAUUGGACUGCGGCCGAUCAGGCUGUUGGUGAGGUAAUGGCCCACCAAACCUGUAACCGGUACGGGCUCUGAGAGGAGAAGCCCGGAGAUGGGCACUGAGACAAGGGCCCAGGCCCUAUGGGGCGCAGCAGGCGCGAAACCUCUGCAAUAGGCGAAAGCCUGACAGGGUUACUCUGAGUGAUUUCCGCUAAGGGGAUCUUUUGGCACCUCUAAAAAUGGUGCAGAAUAAGGGGUGGGCAAGUCUGGUGUCAGCCGCCGCGGUAAUACCAGCACCCCGAGUGGUCGGGACGAUUAUUGGGCCUAAAGCAUCCGUAGCCGGUUCUGCAAGUCUUCCGUUAAAUCCAGCCGCUCAACGGAUGGGCCGCGGAGGAUACUACAGGACUAGGAGGCGGGAGAGGCAAGCGGUACUCAGUGGGUAGGGGUAAAAUCCUUUGAUCCAUUGAAGACCACCAGUGGCGAAGGCGGCUUGCCAGAACGCGCUCGACGGUGAGGGAUGAAAGCUGGGGGAGCAAACCGGAUUAGAUACCCGGGUAGUCCCAGCUGUAAACGAUGCAGACUCGGUGAUGGGCUAGCCUUGUGCCAGCCCAGUGCCGCAGGGAAGCCGUUAAGUCUGCCGCCUGGGGAGUACGGUCGCAAGACUGAAACUUAAAGGAAUUGGCGGGGGAGCA
rnacentral:rRNA from 1 species